rnacentral:rRNA from 1 species
ACGGGGUGCAGCAGGCGCGAAACCUCAUCAAUGCACUAACGUGCGAAGGGGUUACCUCGAGUGCCACCUGAAGAAGGUGGCUUUUCCUUGGUCUAAAAAGCCUCGGGAAUAAGAGGGGGGCAAGACUGGUGUCAGCCGCCGCGGUAACACCAGCCCCUCGAGUGGUGGGGAUGAUUAUUUGGCCUAAAGCGUCCGUAGCCGGCCGUAUAAGUUUCCCGUUAAAUCCAACGUCUCAAGCGUUGGACUGCGGGAAAUACUGCACGGAUAGAGAGUGGGAGAGGUCAGCGGUAUUCUGGGGGUAGGGGCGAAAUCCUUUGAUCCCCGGAGGACCACCAGUGGCGAAGGCUGCUGACUAGAACACGUCUGACGGUCAGGGACGAAAGCUGGGGUAGCGAACCGGAUUAGAUACCCGGGUAGUCCCAGCCGUAAACGAUGCAUGGUAGGUGUUGGGUUGGCCACGAGCCACCCCAGUGCCGCAGGGAAGCCGUUAAGCAUGCCGCCUGGGAAGUACGAUCGCAAGGUUUUAUUUUUAAAGGAAUUGGCGGGGGAGCAC